CAGGCUUAGCACAUGCAAGUCGAGGGGCAGCAUGGUCUUAGCUUGCUAAGACUGAUGGCGACCGGCGCACGGGUGAGUAACACGUAUCCAACCUGCCGUCUACUCUUGGACAGCCUUCUGAAAGGAAGAUUAAUACAAGAUGGCAUCAUGAGUCCGCAUGUUCACAUGAUUAAAGGUAUUCCGGUAGACGAUGGGGAUGCGUUCCAUUAGAUAGUAGGCGGGGUAACGGCCCACCUAGUCUUCGAUGGAUAGGGGUUCUGAGAGGAAGGUCCCCCACAUUGGAACUGAGACACGGUCCAAACUCCUACGGGAGGCAGCAGUGAGGAAUAUUGGUCAAUGGGCGAGAGCCUGAACCAGCCAAGUAGCGUGAAGGAUGACUGCCCUAUGGGUUGUAAACUUCUUUUAUAAAGGAAUAAAGUCGGGUAUGCAUACCCGUUUGCAUGUACUUUAUGAAUAAGGAUCGGCUAACUCCGUGCCAGCAGCCGCGGUAAUACGGAGGAUCCGAGCGUUAUCCGGAUUUAUUGGGUUUAAAGGGAGCGUAGAUGGAUGUUUAAGUCAGUUGUGAAAGUUUGCGGCUCAACCGUAAAAUUGCAGUUGAUACUGGAUAUCUUGAGUGCAGUUGAGGCAGGCGGAAUUCGUGGUGUAGCGGUGAAAUGCUUAGAUAUCACGAAGAACUCCGAUUGCGAAGGCAGCCUGCUAAGCUGCAACUGACAUUGAGGCUCGAAAGUGUGGGUAUCAAACAGGAUUAGAUACCCUGGUAGUCCACACGGUAAACGAUGAAUACUCGCUGUUUGCGAUAUACUGCAAGCGGCCAAGCGAAAGCGUUAAGUAUUCCACCUGGGGAGUACGCCGGCAACGGUGAAACUCAAAGGAAUUGACGGGGGCCCGCACAAGCGGAGGAACAUGUGGUUUAAUUCGAUGAUACGCGAGGAACCUUACCCGGGCUUAAAUUGCAGAUGAAUUACGGUGAAAGCCGUAAGCCGCAAGGCAUCUGUGAAGGUGCUGCAUGGUUGUCGUCAGCUCGUGCCGUGAGGUGUCGGCUUAAGUGCCAUAACGAGCGCAACCCUUGUUGUCAGUUACUAACAGGUUCCGCUGAGGACUCUGACAAGACUGCCAUCGUAAGAUGUGAGGAAGGUGGGGAUGACGUCAAAUCAGCACGGCCCUUACGUCCGGGGCUACACACGUGUUACGAUGGGGGGUACAGAGGGCCGCUACCACGCGAGUGGAUGCCAAUCCCCAAAACCUCUCUCAGUUCGGACUGGAGUCUGCAACCCGACUCCACGAAGCUGGAUUCGCUAGUAAUCGCGCAUCAGCCACGGCGCGGUGAAUACGUUCCCGGGCCUUGUACACACCGCCCGUCAAGCCAUGGGAGCCGGGGGUACCUGAAGUGCGUAACCGCGAGGAGCGCCCUAGGGUAAAACUGGUGACUGGGGCUAAGUCGU
rnacentral:rRNA from 1 species